CCCCAACAACACUUCCUUUGAAAAACAGAAUGUCACUUCCUCAAUCCAGAGGCCAGAAGUCCCUCAGUUCUGAUCAGGGGAGCCAAGACAGGAAACUCUGGAAAUGACCAUCUUAUGGCGAGAGCUCCUCUGGAGGAAGCAUUGCAGAGAUGAGAACCGCACACAUGGGAAGAAAACACGGGCAUAAGGUCUGAUCAAUACCUGGCCAGUCGCGGCUCCAAGAAAUGGUACCGUUCCUCUCUGAGGCUUCCUCCAAAGAGCUCUCCAACU